rnacentral:rRNA from 1 species
CAGAGGUCCCAAGCGUUGUUCGGAUUCACUGGGCGUAAAGGGUGCGUAGGUGGUCAGGUAAGUCGGAUGUGAAAUCUCCGAGCUCAACUCGGAAACUGCAUUGGAAAUUACCUGGCUCGAGGGUUGGAGGGGGGACUGGAACGCUUGGUGUAGCAGUGAAAUGCGUAGAUAUCAAGCGGAACACCAGUGGCGAAGGCGAGUCCCUGGACAACUCCUGACACUGAUGCACGAAAGCUGGGGGAGCAAACAGGAUUAGAUACCCUGGUAGUCCUAGCCGUAAACGGUGCACGUUUGCUGUAAAAGGAAUCGACCCCUUUUGUGGCGUAGCCAACGCGUUAAACGUGCCGCCUGGGAAGUACGGUCGCAAGAUUA